UGAAGACUAACUACUGCGAUGCAUUUGCCAAGGAUGUUUUCAUUAAUCAGGAACGAAAGUUAGGGGAUCGAAGACGAUCAGAUACCGUCGUAGUCUUAACCAUAAACUAUGCCGACUAGGGAUCGGACGGUGUUAUAUUUUGACCCGUUCGGCACCUUACGAGAAAUCAAAGUGCUUGGGCUCCAGGGGGAGUAUGGUCGCAAGGCUGAGCUUAAAGAAAUUGACGGAAGGGCACCACCAGGGGUGGAGCCUGCGGCUUAAUUUGACUCAACACGGGGAAACUCACCAGGUCCAGACACAAUAAGGUUA
rnacentral:rRNA from 1 species